rnacentral:lncRNA from 1 species
CUUGUAUCAAUGCUUUCAAUAAUACUUGUAUCAUAUUUGAUACUUUGUCAAUUAUUAUAUUUGAUACAAGUAUUUUUUGGUUUACAUGCAAAAAAUCUCAGUCUCAAUUAUUUAUGUUGGAUUAAUAUCACUGACUUCAUGACCUUCCACCUGCAGUUGUCAGAUACAGUACUCCCUUUUCAAUUUAUUUGUUUCUGUAAUCAACCCCCACUCCUGCGUCCGGUUGGAUCAUCCCUCUCUGGUAUGUACAGUCAGGUCGUUUGGUUGUGUUCAUCUAUAUCCUAGCUUUUGUACUUUUAUAAGUGUUAUAAUAAAUAGAUCGG